AACGAACGCUGGCGGCAUGCCUAACACAUGCAAGUCGAACGAUACCAUCGGGCAUAUUGGCGCACGGGUGCGUAACGCGUGGGAACCUGCCAUUAGGUGCGGAAUAACUCCCCGAAAGGGGUGCUAAUACCGGAUAAUUUCUUCGUACCAAAGAUUUAUCGCCGUUGGAUGGGCCGGCGUUGGAUUAGCUUGUGGGUAGGGUAAACGCGUACCAAGGCGACGAUCCAUAGCUGGUCUGAGAGGAUGAUCAGACACACUGGGACUGAGACACGGCCCAGACUCCUACGGGAGGCAGCAGUGGGGAAUAUUGGACAAUGGGCGAAAGCCUGAUCCAGCACUGCCGCGUGAGUGAUGAAGGCCUUAGGGUUGUAAAGCUCGUUUACCCGGGAUGAUAAUGACAGUACCGGGAGAAUAAGCUCCGGCUAACUCCGUG
rnacentral:rRNA from 1 species